UAGGGAAUCUUCGGCAAUGGACGAAAGUCUGACCGAGCAACGCCGCGUGAGUGAAGAAGGUUUUCGGAUCGUAAAACUCUGUUGUUAGAGAAGAACAAGGACGUUAGUAACUGAACGUCCCCUGACGGUAUCUAACCAGAAAGCCACGGCUAACUACGUGCCAGCAGCCGCGGUAAUACGUAGGUGGCAAGCGUUGUCCGGAUUUAUUGGGCGUAAAGCGAGCGCAGGCGGUUUCUUAAGUCUGAUGUGAAAGCCCCCGGCUCAACCGGGGAGGGUCAUUGGAAACUGGGAGACUUGAGUGCAGAAGAGGAGAGUGGAAGUCCAUGUGUAUCGGUGAAAUGCCUAGAUAUAUGGAGGAACACCAGUAGCGAAGGCGGCUCUCUGGUCUGUAACUGACGCUGAGGCUCGAGAGCGUGGGGAGCAAACAGG
rnacentral:rRNA from 1 species